AGCGAAUACAUGGAUGGCGCCACGUCGUAUCAACUACUUGGACUGCUCAAACAGGGGGCAUGACGUGCCCCACACCCGAGACAGCAACGUAACAGCAGACGCGGAAAAGAAUGACGAGAAGGCACGUCACAACCCAAAAUGCCUCUGCAGUGACCCGCUGACGAACCAGUUUCAGGAAGUUCAGCGACUGAACGAGGGAAAGACGCGGUGCGCGGCAGGGGCCGGUGGGAACGGGGAGCGGAAGCAGGUGACUUUGCCCACCUUCGCCAGUUAUUUCGCGGGUCUCACGAAUUCGUGUUUCCCUUGUCGAUAGAGUCAAACAUGCGCUUCGGACAAGCUUUAUUGUUUUGGAGGGUCCAGCGUGAAACUAGAAAAAGCAUCGUUCAAGAGGCAGUGCAGGAUUACAGCCCACUCCGCCACGGAAUUACAUGCUGCGAUACCCGUCAACGAAGAGGACCCUGAGCAGAAUGAUAUUUGUAAUUUGGUAAGCGUCAUUCCACCUGCAUCGAUUCGUGGCUCAAAAUGAGGCGAGCAUUGUUUUUGCGUAGUGCCUUAUGCACAAGAAAGAUUCUCUGCACCCGGGACCUCCUGUACUUUUCACUCUCGAAUGUGGUAAGGUAGAAUGACGUUGCCACAAAGACAACUUGUUGCACCUUCAACAAACUCAGGGCACGAAUAUCAUUUGGCAUGGUAAGUCAAUGCCUAGAUGGAAUGCGGCUAGUUCCUCCUAAUGAUCGUGAGAUCAAUAGUUUAUCAGAGUGUGUGUCUAGGAGGGAGUGCAGAAAAGACUGUCCCAUCUGCACCAAACCAGUCGAGGAGGAUGACAUCAGAAAGAUAUUGACCAAGAGAAAACUUCUCAAAAGAGGCAUGCAAAUGCAGCAGAAGCAGCUCGCACGGGCUGUAGCGGAAGCUGUUGUCUGACAACUCUGCUCUGAAUGCAACGGGCGAAGCCUGUGUACUGUGUUUUCUGCUUUCGGACUCGUGUUUGUAAAUAUAAAAGAGAUGUGUGAGAUGCCGGUCGCUGUGGGCACCCUGCACGUAUUAUUAACUGGGCUAUGUUCGCCCUAAGAAUCUGCUUUAGACUGGAAUGAAUUGCUUAAAGGCAGUCUUGAUGACAAUCUACAGGUUGCUCCCCGGCCGAUGAAAGGAAGCAGAAGGAAUCUCAUAGCCCGGGAUACCUUCCACCACAGAGGAGGACUCUGGUUAUGGGAGAAGUGCCAGAGCUGAACAGCGGGGUACCGGCGACAACACGAGUGCCCGACAGGGUAUGCUUGACGACGUCACAUCCCUUACAACAAUGGGUUAGUGCUUCCGUUUGCAG
rnacentral:lncRNA from 1 species